AUAUGUUUGAAAAAACGGGAUCAAACAAUGCGUUGACGAUGCCGUUGAGGCAAUGAGGAAUCUGUGUGUGCGCAAAGCUUGGCGUAUACGGUUCCGAUGGUCAGCGAAUAAAGCUCCAGAACUGUAAGUGGCUAAACGUGCUUUACCUAUUCACUAAUACACGCUAACUGGUUUGAAUUUCUGGAAUUCAAUAAGAAUCUUUGAACUGUUACAAAUGGACCACAAUUUUCUUGAUCGUGAUUACAGUUCGUGCCGUUUAACCAAUUUAUCAUAAAAAAGUCAUGACAGCGAUUGUGGCUGCAACUGCAGGGGAUGGUAAUGAAAAACAAACAUUGGUAAGGGAUUUCAAAUCACCAUUGAAAUAUUGCAGUUCAAAAAAUUGUUGGCUGUUUCACAACUAGGUCAAGGUCUUUGAUUAGGGUGAUACAGUUCAUUUAUCCCACAAGAGCUACAAUUCUCACUUAAACUCUUAUCACUUCAUUGGAGUAAAACUGUGCUUACAUGAAUAUGAGAAUAAAUAUCUUAUCCCUGAGUAGGUUACUUAGGGUAUAUCUGCCUUCCCAUUAUAUAAAUGCUGUCCACAACAGAAACUAUAGCCAUUUGUACUAAUUGUGGUUCAGAUACUGUCUGGUGAGAAAUUAUUUGCGUGCGUAUACAAACACCUUAUGAAAGAACACCAUUACUGCUUAAUUGCAGUUACAUAAUUACAUGCUAGAAAGAUAAAUUAAAAAAAUGAAAAAACAACCUCUAUUUCAGAAAUGUUGCACCUGGUCACGAUGUCAAGCACAUCAUCUGAAACAUUGCACUAGGGCUGCUUUUGUGAUAAUGGUGGAUGACAGAGAGGGCUAGAUGGUCUUGGAGUUGAGCAGUUUAAAAUUAAACCAGCCCUACCCCACACCCUGGGGCCUCUGAUGAAUUUGAAUUAGUGCAGGGUGGCCGUCUGUCACUUUUAGGUAAAGACUGGCAUGAUUUUAUUGGAAGCAUAGGGAAGUGGUCACCCUGAAGUGAACCUCUAUUUCUGUAAAUGCAUCAUUCUGAACAUGCUUUACAGUAAUAACAUGUAUCCUUGGUCCCAAUUCCAAGCAUUGACUUCAUGAUUUCAUUUUCAAUGUAAAAAUUUUGAACUUGUUAAAGAAUUUUACUUGUGGUCUUUACCAAGAAGUCUGCUAUUGUGUCUGUCAUCUUUUAUAUGACCAGAUAUUGGAUACAUCUUUUACAUGCACCAUAUAUUUCAAUACACGUAUAUGAACCAUAUAUUCUAUACACGUCUGCCAUAGUCCUACCCUACAACUUAAGCUUGAUGAUGUUCUCCGCAUGGAUAUAAUGACACAUAGUUUUGCAAUAUUAAGACAAUAACGUUUCAGAGACUAAUAAAAAACUCAUCCUAAAGCUGUAUGAAGAGCAUAUUGUCUAGAAGAUAAUAUCUGACUGUGGUAGGGAAAGGACAUGAUCUCAUGAGGAUCAUGGGUGUGGUGAUAAAGGUACAGACCAAUGACAAGCAUUGUUCUAUAGAUGGAAACAUUUGUUACUCAAAUUUUUUUCUAAAUUGUGUUUUGGUGCUCAAAGCUUUGAGAUCACAUAUAAUUAUUGAGGUUAAAUAUCGAUUAUGGUUUGUCUUUCUUGAAAAUGCAAACCCCUUUUCGAGGUGAUGUCUGAGAUGAGUUUAGAAUGGACAUAACAUCAUGAUAAACAGGGAUGCAGUGAUUUGUUAUAGAUCAAUGACAAGCCUGUGUCAUGAUAUAUUGUUUUAUUUGUCUAUAAAAAUCUAUAUGGUCAUACCAUAUUUUUAGAAAGAUGAUAUUUCCUUUUAAUACAUGAUAAUGACAUAAAAUGUGUAAGUUGUUUUGAGCUUAAAUGAUUCAAUUAAUCCCUAAAAAUGGGAUAGCAAGAUAUGUAAUGUGUGGCUGCUCUGUAGGUACGUGAUUAGCAGGGGAGUUAGUCAUAUUGUCAGCAUCAUUCAGUGGUUAUCUUUUAACAUCACUAUCAUUUAUUACUCUGAUUCUUGAUUAUUCUGUAUCAGGACUAAUGACAUCAUGCCAUAGGAUUUCAUACACAUCAAUGAUUUUUAUUAAAAUGCAAGCGCAAAAGUUUAUACCAGUUUAUAGAUAUUGCUCCAAGUGCAAGUUAUACUGGAUCAACCCAGAAGAAACCAUAUCCACAUAUAAGGGUGGGAGUUGAGUGAUGAUAUCAUAGACUUAUAGCCAUGAUGUUCAUCGUGCCAUGUGAAUGUACAGUGGUGGUGCUAUUUGUGAUUUGUAUUUUCUAAUAAUAUUGAGAUGAUGCCAAAUACGUAUCAUAGUGACAAUGAAUUUUGAAUUUCAAUUUCUGGUAUAGGAUGCUUGAAUUCGUUUUUGCUAUUCCUAUAUGUGCUGCUGUAUCUCUUACAACCAUUCCUGAUAAUCAAGUCCUUUUCGACCUGCCUGGCCUUUUAAUGGUUGUCCUUUUGGCACUUUUGUAUUGCAAUCAAAUCAGUUAUUUAUUGGUGCAUUCAUUUUCCCUGAUGGGUGCUACUGUUAGCUUCUCAUGAACGUAUUCAGUUUUUACUUAUUUUUCAUUGCUAUGUAAUACUAUCUGGUGUCAAUUCCCCUUUGAUUUUUCCAAAACAGAGUGUCUCUUAAUUGCUUAGUACCUUGUGCCACAAGGGCACAAUUGAUAUUGUAGUCUUAUACAUUUUUCUGUUAAUUUGAUUAUCAUUUCCCUAUAUAUA